rnacentral:tRNA from 1 species
GCUGGUGUGGCUCAACGGCAGAGCAGCUGACUUGUAAUCAGCAGGUUGCAGGUUCAACUCCUGUCACCAGCU